rnacentral:rRNA from 1 species
AGGCCUAACACAUGCAAGUCGAGCGGAUGAGAAGAGCUUGCUCUUCGAUUCAGCGGCGGACGGGUGAGUAAUGCCUAGGAAUCUGCCUGGUAGUGGGGGACAACGUUUCGAAAGGAACGCUAAUACCGCAUACGUCCUACGGGAGAAAGCAGGGGACCUUCGGGCCUUGCGCUAUCAGAUGAGCCUAGGUCGGAUUAGCUAGUUGGUGAGGUAAUGGCUCACCAAGGCGACGAUCCGUAACUGGUCUGAGAGGAUGAUCAGUCACACUGGAACUGAGACACGGUCCAGACUCCUACGGGAGGCAGCAGUGGGGAAUAUUGGACAAUGGGCGAAAGCCUGAUCCAGCCAUGCCGCGUGUGUGAAGAAGGUCUUCGGAUUGUAAAGCACUUUAAGUUGGGAGGAAGGGCAUUAACCUAAUACGUUAGUGUUUUGACGUUACCGACAGAAUAAGCACCGGCUAACUCUGUGCCAGCAGCCGCGGUAAUACAGAGGGUGCAAGCGUUAAUCGGAAUUACUGGGCGUAAAGCGCGCGUAGGUGGUUUGUUAAGUUGAAUGUGAAAGCCCCGGGCUCAACCUGGGAACUGCAUCCAAAACUGGCAAGCUAGAGUACGGUAGAGGGUGGUGGAAUUUCCUGUGUAGCGGUGAAAUGCGUAGAUAUAGGAAGGAACACCAGUGGCGAAGGCGACCACCUGGACUGAUACUGACACUGAGGUGCGAAAGCGUGGGGAGCAAACAGGAUUAG